ACUUACGGUCCGGAGUCAGUGGGUUAUCAUUGACCACUGUUCCCAUUGACACCACCUCGACCGUUUG
rnacentral:sRNA from 1 species